UGGUUACCUUCGCAUCCCAGCAAUCCACAGAAGAUUUUACACAUUUAUUACAGAAAAUCCUUGAAAUCUAAUAGGUCUUAAGCUGCACACGGGUUUUGAGUGUCCCCAUAGCUACCGGCCACCCCCCUCCUGCCUUUUGCUGAGUUAAUCUGCAGCUCUGCCAGCUGAGGGGACUUACCAAGGGCUUUUCGAUGGGAGGAGGCAGUUGGGAGCUCGCACACACUGGAAUAGCUGCUACCCAGUAAUGAAGCAGGAACUGAGAAGUCUCACUCUUUCAGCAGCUAUUCAGGAAAUAUGUCAAUGUGGGAACUAAGUUGGAACUUGAAUAAAGACCUUGAGGGACAAGGGUGGAACCCGCCUGAGCUAGAGCUGAAGCUGAACAUGGUAGAGAUGCAUCAAUGGAAGCAGCAGAGCAAUUCUGUUCCUCAGAUCUGCUGAGACAUUCCACUGCACCACGCUGUGGCGGUCUGUGGGUGCAAAGCGCUGUUCAAGAAAUAAGCGCUGUGCCUUGGAAAUAUGAGUACUCAAGGAAGACCCUGGGUGGGAUCCAAGAGAAAGAAGAGAUACUUGGAGGCAGAAGAGAUCAGUUACAGACUUCAGGAGCCAUGGCCACCACCUAG
rnacentral:lncRNA from 13 species